rnacentral:rRNA from 1 species
CCCUUAGAUGUCCUGGGCCGCACGCGUGCUACACUGAUGCAUACAGCGAGUACUUUCCAGCUCCGCGAGACAGCUGGUAAUCAGCAAUAUGCAUCGUGCUGGGGAUAGAUCUUUGGAAUUAUAGAUCUUGAACGAGGAAUUCCUAGUAAGCGCAAGUCAUUAGCUUGCGCUGAUUAAGUCCCUGCCCUUUGUACACACCGCCCGUCGCUCCUACCGAUUUCGAGUGAUUCGGUGAACCUUUUGGACAGCGUCUGUCCUCGUGUCAGAUGCUGAAAGUCAAGUAAACCAUAUCACUUAGAGGAAGGAGAAGUCGUAACA